AAUAAAAAAUAAUAAAAAUAAAAUUUAAAAAAAAAUGGAGCAGUCUGAAAACGAUUAUCAAAAAUUGGUGCGGGACGUGCAGCUGUUGCUGCAGCAGCAGAACGAGCAGCAUCAGCGGCAAAUGCAGCUGCUGCAGCAACAAUAAGAGCAACAAUUGCUACAACUGAGGGAGGAGCUCCUCCCUCAGCAUGGACAGGGCGACCAACCGUGGGAGGAGCCCCUCCCUCAGGAGGAGGAGAAGAAGGUGGCGGGUAGGCCACCGCGAAAGAGGGGAGUAGCGGCUGGUAGGUCGCGGCGCUUGAAGGGGUACCGGGAC